GGAUUUUAUUUCAUUUUCAUAAGAACGAAACUACACAUGUUCAUGCCAAAGUAUCGCCGCCGAGAUUAAACGGUUUGCGGACUGGUGUACUCGGCACUCGAUCUCCGCACAGACCCUCGCCUAUUGGUUUGUCUUUGGUGCAAAUUGAUAAAGUGGAAGGUGGAAUUAUUGUUACUUAUUGAUAUAUAUAUAUAUAUAUUGAUAUAUUGUAUUUGUUUAGUAUACAAAUUCUAAAUAAUUGGUUUGAUUGUUGACAUUUUAGGCAACUCUGUUUAUUUUUCUGGCGUUGAUAUGAUAGAUGGUACUCCAGUGUUUGAUAUUAAACCGUACAUCCCUCACUACGAUGCACCUGUUUCACUGAGAACUAAUCAACAUGUUACAUUGUUUGAUAAUGGCUCGCAUCAAUUACUUUUGGAUCCUUUGACAGCUGACCGAGAAGCACCAGACGGAGAGGAAACAGAUGCUUACGAUCAUAAUAUGCCUCUUUCCCCACUCCACACAAGGGUACAAUUUUUUACAAGUUAUUAUAGUGUUGUAAUCAUAUUAUUUUAUGUGUAUAAUAUAUAUAUUUUGAAAUAGGUUAGAGUUCCUUUAUGGAUUACUGAAACGGCAACAAAUCAACUUGAUGUGCAGUUCUCAUCGAGGGCUCGAGAAUUUUUAGAUAGAUUGGAGACUAAUGAUAUUGAAACAACUAUAGUGAGCGUUUUAAAAGAAGAUCCUCGGUCUGUAUAUGUCCGUGAGCGUUAUAGCAAUCAAUUUUACACGUUUUUAAUUGGAGGCUAUCAUGUGAGUUGCAAGUUUGAUGACAGUAGACAUAUAAUAAGUGUAUACAGAAUAUCACUCGUUGACAAUUUGGAUAACGUAGAAAAUCAAGAUGGUGCCCAUUAC